UACAGAGGGUGCAAGCGUUGUCCGGAAUCACUGGGCGUAAAGGGCGCGUAGGCGGUUCGUUAAGUUGCUGGUGAAAUCCCGGGGCUCAACUCCGGGGCUGCCGGCAAGACUGGCGGGCUAGAGCACGGUAGAGGCGGAUGGAAUUCCCGGUGUAGCGGUGGAAUGCGUAGAUAUCGGGAAGAAUACCGGUGGCGAAGGCGUUCCGCUGGGCCGUUGCUGACGCUGAGGCGCGACAGCGUGGGGAGCAAACAGG
rnacentral:rRNA from 1 species